UCUCUUCCCCCUCUCGCUCCUCACCGACUCCGACUUACCGUUCGAACGAGAAACCCAAAAAUCGACGUUUUCUGACGGCUGCCACUGCAACCACAACAAUUCGGCUCAAGAGAGUGCUAACAACAACAACAUUCGAGCUUUGCGUGCUCGAAUCUACCCUCGACCGAAGAGUUCCAUAAGCCCAGCUUGAGGUGUUUAUUUUGCCCGCCAAUUUCAGGCCUUUCCGACCUUUUUUGGGUCGGAGAGGGUAAUAUUUUUCCUCUACACCCUCGAAUUAUCUUAGAUUGUGAGCUAAUCGGAGUCUGCAAAUUUUUCCACGGCACCACCAUUCCAUCCGCGACGUUUUCCAAAACCCGCUUGACCGAAGGGAAGCAAUUUAUCGUACGCUAGAUCCCAAAAAUUUCUUUACAAAUAUCCCCUUUCACAAUUCUUUUCUUGAUUUUUGCAUACCCCUUUCUCAAUUGAACCGAACCAUAGCAUUAGAAAAAAAAUGUAAUCAUUAGGGUUUUUUUUUUUUUUUUUGGUAAUUUUUCCGAUUUUGGAAAUUUGAUGGUGUUUGUGUACCGUUGCAGGUGAUUGCCAAAGAAUCUCUCUUCUGACUGCACAGGGAACUUGAAUGGUCAGAAUAUACCAUCCUAUGCAUUGGCGUUGAAACGUACGCAUGGGUCCCUAAUUCGCCGCCGGUGGACGUUAGCCUUUUCUCCUCCCCCUUCAGUACUCAUGUGAGUCUGUGACUCAAUUCUAACACUUAAUCUUCUAUUUGGAAAUGCCUCUGUUUUAUUACUUGCUGAAAACGCCUCUGUCAAAAAUUUUGAAGGCCUUUUCUUUGUUUCAUCUUAUCUUCCUCCUUUUCUUUGUCCAUUUAUGCCUAUGUCAACUCUUUCCAAUUUAAAUGCACUCAUUUAGUCACUCACAUUGUAUCUGAUAGAGCAGAUGAAAAAAGAGGAAAUGGGGAUUAUAUAUGUAAGCUCUCUGUCUCAGCUUUGCUUAUAUGUCCCCCAUUUGAUUUCUUAUACGUCAAUAUUAGAUGUGAAUAUUAGAACUGCCAAUCCAAAUUCACCUAUUUGCUCGUCAUGAGACUAAUUAGAAUUAGCUAUCUUACGGAUGUGUUGAUUAAAAAAAGUCUAGCCAAUUUUUAGCAUGUUUAAGUAGUAGUAAUUAAACUCAAAAGAUGCUCGAGUGCUUGAAUUUCUAACAAUGUUCCAUUAGAGGAUCAAGCAUUGUAACUUAAUGCUGCCUCAUUGGGUUGUCAGCUUUUGUAUGGAUGCAAUUAGUAGAAAUUACGUUUUCAUUGCUACGAACAGUUUUGUAUUCAUUGAUGUCUGGAAAGAUUUCGGGAAAACAGGAUGAAUAGUGUAAGAAUGUAGGUUGGUGUAUGUAUAAAUUAGCUCUCCCAAUUUUCUUCUUUAAUUUAUUUUUCUGUUUAUUUUGUUUUCAUUGCUUAGCUUAAUUAUAAGUUAGGUGUGGUUGAAAAUUACAAGUUUUCUUCAUGCAUGUGUUUUUCUUUCUUCCUAGCUAUCUAUCUGUUGUCUGAGGUUUCAAUUACAUUCACACGAUAUUUUAACGGACUGUGCCAGAAGAACAUCUUUUUGGCAACGAUGAAGAAAGAAGAGUGAAGUCCCGAGGAACGAUCUGAAAGUUGGGACAUGAAAAGCAAAAAUAUUUUGGUGUGUAUUAUAUCUAUAUGAACAGCUUAGUCUCCAACUUUUUUUGCUAUGUAAUGUGUUCUACAAACACCUAUCUUUUAUUUCUUAAUGAACAUAAGGAUGUAAAUAGAGUUUGAUAUGGAUGUAAAUGGAUUUUAACAUAUUCUACACGUUUA